rnacentral:lncRNA from 1 species
UUUUUUUUUGUGAUCUCUUGAUGUGAUCGAUCCUGUGGGCGAGUUCCAACAACGGUCACCACUGACUCCGAUCUACCACCGUCCAGUGCAGCACUAAAAUCUCAUCACUGGGUUCAUGAUCAGUGAGGGACGUGGGCAUUAUUUUGGUCUUCUGCCAUUCGAUGGCGCAUUUUAGUAUCUGCACUGCAGAGGUGAGAGUACAAAAUAACAGUUGUGAGGAACACAUGGAUCAGUGUGGCUCUAUUGGUUUAUUAAGAUUUGUAAUUUUGGUGUGUGUUUUGUAUACGAAGUUGUUGUGGAUCAAGUAAUUUAAUCAAGUCCAUUUGAGUCAAUGGAAUUACCGAACGUGUUGUCUUCUUUUUGGCUUGAUCUUGUUCUACUGUGUGUGCUCUGGAUUGACCUUCUUAGGCUUGUUUCUGUGGUGUAGAGAGCCAGGUUUGUCUAUUACUUGUGCUGGUGGCUUUGGCUAUAGGUUGGUGAGUUUAAAGACUGAUGUUUGCUCUUUAGGCCUGGUUUGGCUAUGGUCUGGUUGCCUGCGUGUAGUUCAUGUUUUUCCUAAUGUUUUAGGGUUGCUUUUACUUUCAGUGUUAUUUUCUCUAGUUCAUGUAAUAAGCAGCAGGCAUGUUGCAUGCCAGCGCCACGAGGCAAUGCCAGAAGCGCUAUUCGGCUACAGCAUCACAGCCAAAGGGCGUCCAUCGUGAAGGCAACAAUUAUAUGAAGCAUCACUUCCUGUAGGUCAGGUAGCAUAAUAUUUCAAACAAUGGAAGUAAAUGCAUACAAACUACUCCCUCCGUCCCAUACUGUGUAAAAAACGCUCUUAUAUUACGAGACGGAGGGAGUACAUUAUAUCCCUAACAAAUAAGAGGCAAAAUAGACAGGUGUGGUAAUGUGCGCCAUCAAUGAUGUAGUACACUCUAGAACAGUUGGACAAUUACUAAGUUUAACAAUCAUAUUUUCUGAACCUAUAUUAGGAUAUUUGUUUAACUAAUGAAGUAGAAUCCAUUAUGAAGAUAUUUAUAUAUGUCGUGCACACACACACACACACACACACACACACACACACACACACACCAUAAUUUAUUACCUUUUUUACAUUUGUUUAUGAUUUGUUAUAAGUUGAAUCAAUUCUACAAUAUGCCUCAAACUAAAAUUUGAACAAAAAGGAGACAAUUGCAUGAUUAAUUUUAUCCCAGAUUUUUAAAAGAUUGACAUGUGAUUUUAUAACAAUAAAUUUUGAUUAUUUUACAUACCUACUCGUUUGUGUGAAUAAUAUUGCUAGAUACAAUUGAAACAAAUAGUGUUGAUCAUUGUAUGGCAUAUGUUAUAUUGAUUCAAAAUAGGGUUGAGAUUCAGUGGCAAUUAGAUACCAAGAAGUACAAGUGUUUAAUAUAAAAUGCGGGAUUUGGUGGUCGCCACCUCUCGUUCGUGGUUGAUUUGCGGUACAAAGUGGUAUAUUUUAUCUCCGCUCUACAAAUAUGUUAUAUACUAACAGAACAAGUAUAAUAUGGAGGACGGCGAUUCAAUGCACGGGCAUGUGGCCGGUAUCGUGUGCGUUUGAUCCGGUGUGGGGAUUUGGAAAAAUGCUGACGUGGGACAGGUUUUAGCAGUUGAAAAAUCGCGUAUACAUGAGGAGUCGUAGGAACAGUGAUGUAUGGCGGGACCAAACCGUAGGUGGCAGGCGAGAUUAAUGGGGUGGGCGGAGAGAGGCGUCGAGUCCGAAGUUAUAGGCCGUGGCUCAGGAAUGUGAGGAAAAUCAUUGGCAUGGGGACGGAAUGUGCACCUGAUAGGGUCGGGGGUUGUCGAACUUAAUCAAAACGUGGUUUUCCCGUGUGUCCCGUGCACACCACUAAAGCUACAUAAGUUGUUCUUCGAAAAAAAACUAUAUAAGUUGUUCGUUUCGGUUCUUCUUAGAUGAGCUGGGUUUAUUUUUUGCAAAAAGAUCAGAUUUAUUAUAAAGAUUCCCCACAAAGCCGCCUGAUUGUGCGACGCUGCCGAUUUCAUUUGCUGCUAGCAAUGGGGGUGAUUAUGGGGGUGUUGCUGAAACACCUACCCACCCGAAGUGCGGAAGGUUCGAUCGUGUGUGUGCGUGUGGAAGGACCAUUCAAAGAUGAUCCGUUAAAUUUAGAUGAGAUGAUUCCAGUAAUACACUACCACGUUGUUCCAUCGGCGUCCUCCUCAGAUGCACCAAACGAUCAUCGACGUCCUCCUCCGAGGAGGAUCGCCUGGAGCAAUUAAACUAAUAAGUUGGAACUGUCGGGGUCUCUUGGGAACCCCGACGGUUCUUUUGCUUCUGGACAUCCAGAGGUGACAUAAUUCAGAUGCGUUUUUUCUGUCUGAAACGCAUUUGGAUGAGGAUAGGGCAGCUUGAGAAGGAAAAUGAGGAUGGAUUACAAAAUCGUUGCGCCAAGCCUUGAUGGAAGGAAAGGUGGUUUGCUUUUAGUCUGGAAGAAGGAGGUGAGGAUCUACUCCGGGACUACCACUUUUAGUGUCAUCAAUGUGAUGGUGGAGGAAUCAAAUGGAAGAGAAUGAAGGCUUUAGGGAUUGUAUGGGGAGCCGAGUUGGGAUCAUACGUACCAGCUAAUACUUGCAUGCUCAAUCUAAUCUCCUGUGGGUGGUCAUUGGUGAAUUUAAUGAGAUUCUAUUCUCGACAGAAAAGGAGGGAGGUGCGCCACGGAGCAAGCGCUAAGAUGUGCUUCGAAAGGCACAUAAUCUUCAUCUCCUACAGAUAUCUGCAACAUCUGCUGAUUUUAAUUCCCUGAUGUGCAGUUUGGUAAAUCCUACUCAUCUUUGCUAUCUAAAGCUCGGAGUCGUUAAGGUGCAUGAGGGUUUGCCUCAAGUUUGGAGCAAGUUUUGCCAUCUUCAAGUAUUAGAUUCUUUGUCUGGACGCUGCUGCAGAACAGACUUUGGACUGCAAAUCGACUGCUUGUGAGAGGCUGGAUCAUCAGGAUACUUGCUCCACUUGUGAUCAGGUGCUUGAGUCUGCCCACCACCUGAUAUUCGCCAAGCAGGUCUAGACUGCAUACCAAAAUACGAGACCACUGGCAAGCCAGGCAGAGCUGCACUCAACCUCUGUUGGGACUUGGGACCUGGUGGGAGACGAUCCUGCCUCUCAGGGAAAAAGGACAGGGCACUGAUGAUUGCACCUUCUCAGCUUACGUGGCAUGCAUGGAACCUCUGGAAUGAGCGAAAUCGAAGAGUUUUCAGAAAUCAGCAAAAGAACCCUGUGUGUGUUCGAAGAUUAACGAUGAGAUCAGCCUCUUUGAUGAGGCAUGGGAGAGCAAUAGUUUUUUUUUCUUUUGAACUGUACAGCCAGGCAGCUGAGGCAGGCCUUGCUUGUACUGGGUCUUUUAUUCUUUUUUCAGCUUUUCCUAGUAGCUUCACUACUACUGUAAAGUAUUUCCCCCUCCUUAAAUGAAAAGGCAGAGCACCUGCCGUUCCGGUCAAAAAAAAAUGUCAACUGUGUUGGUCAGUGGAUCUAGCUAGAGCCUUACUGCAGAACACAUGGCAGCAUAGGUAUAUUUGUCAUAACCGAGGUUAGCAUCUGUGGCUGCGUGCUGUUUUACUGCCUCGGAAAGUGGUGCUUCGCGGCCUUUUAGGCGCAAUUCCACCAUGGAUCAUGUCAUGCCCAGAGUUUACAUGCUGAAGUUCUGUUAUUAGUUUCUUGGAAAGUAUAAAAAGCUGAUCUUGUGACAGUUUCCUGGGCUGGCACGCUGUCACGUGAGCGCCUCGUCCUCAUGUAAUCCGUUUUGCUUGCCAUAUCCACUGAAAGCACCGAAAACAAAGUGAUACGUUAUUUACUGAAUCUUGUGAACUCAAACUGCAAACUUAAUCUUUUCAUCUCCUUGACUUGAGAAGGAACUCUGUGGGGACUUUGGUAAUCCCUAGUAAGAUAUGCAUUGUGCAGUCUGCAGUUCAUUACAAGAUUGCGUGAAGAAACAUUUGCAAAACUCCCUCGAUAUGAUAGGCCGUGCAGAAUUUCUCUGUAGCUACACUGAUGCACUUGGUAGGCCUGAACUCAUAUGUUGCGGUGUCUUGAACUGAUAUGUCAUACCUUGAUCCGUCAGAGUUCAGGACGCAUUCAGCAGCAGACGCCUAAUCGAUCUCUCCUUAAAUUUGAAUGUGCGACCCUACUGGUUGCUCACUACGUGGUUCUUGUUCAUUGUGCACUAUGCUAUCUUGUCAUCUUAUAUGGAGUUCAUUUCCUGGGGGUGCUUUGGGAUAAUUUUGCUCCAGGCAUGCUGUCCUUCUUCCGGUGAGGUUUGCAAAAACUUGUAGUAAUGACUUUGUGUUCCCCCGUUGUAAUCUUAAUCGUUUGUUUGUCAUGUUCAUGACUUGCUGGCCGCGUUUGGAAGCCCUGUAAGUACCAUAUUAUAGCUCUGAUCUCUUUGGUUUAUCUAUAAGAUUCAACCCAAAUAAACUCUAAACCGGCUAAGUUUCAACCCUCAACCAUGAGAACCGGCUAAUUUUUCUUGUCUCAGCUUGAACCUUCUUGUUCAAUUCUGCUUCUUCUUUCUUCUUGGCAGUUCUCUCCAAUGUAGCCAACCUUCUUCUCUCUGCAAGCUCAGCUUUCCUCUGUGCAACCUCAUGUUUCCUUUUUGCUAUCUCUGCAGCUCUCUUCAAUUCCUCUUCUCUUCUAGAUGCAAGUAUUGCCUUCUUCCUCUCCUCUACUUCCCUAUCUUUCUGAUUCUUCAUGGCCUCCAAUUUCUGUACCAACUCACCUGGCCUUAUGGUGCUUGAACUAGCUUGGCUCCCUUGGCUUCCAUUACUCUGGUUGAGCAGCACUUGGGCAGCAGUAAGGAAAGCAGAAGCAGGUACUGGCCUUUGUUCAACAACCCUUGUUGUUGGCAUCUACGAAGAAUGUACAUUUGAUGAGAAUAAUAGGAUAUUCAUGUACAAAGAAUGUACAUUUGAUGAGGAGAUCAGUAGUACCUGGGCAAUCAUGUUGUCAACCAUGAGAUCACCACAUGCAGGAGCCACAUUUGUAGGAGUCACAUUGGCACCAACAACACCUUCAUUUGGAGGAGUGGCAUUGACAGCAGCAGUACCUUCAUUUGGAGGAGGCACAUUGACACCAGCAUUACCUUCAUUUGGAGGAGGCACAUUUGAAGAUGGUUGAUCAUUUGGUGGAGGCACAUUAGGUGGUGGCAGUCCAGCCUUCAAGGUCUUGCACCCCUUCCUGUUGUGAUCUGCAUCACCACAAAGAACAAUGCAUAAUGACACCAUGCCUUGUGAUUUUCUUCCCUCCCCUCCUAUGAUCAACCUCUCCAGGUGCCUGUCUCCUUGUAGUACAUGGCCUUCCAACAUGCUUCUGGUACAAUGGUGGCAUUAUUGGAGGCCCAUGUAAGUCUUCCCAUUCACUCCUAUCUCUACAAGGAUAGAUAAUAUUGCCAUAUGCUUUCUUGAACACAUGUUUUGAGUAGCAAUGAUCAACCAUGUUCAAAGGAUCAACUCUAUCAUUCCUGCAGCAGGCUACCACAUGAGAGCAUGGAAUGCCUGCUUUCUGCAUUCUUCUACAUGUGCAGGUUUUCUUGUGCAUGUCCACUAUGUAAUCCAUUCCUCUAUCACCUGCUAGGAAUAAGCCAUCUCCUGAUCCCUCCACAUAGCAUGUGUUUGCAAAUUCUGUUACCUUUUCAACCUUCUUCCUGAUCUUUGGACAUACAUCUCCUUGCCAUUUAUCUGACUCCAGCUGUUUGUUGUAAUGCCUUGUCAUAAGUUGCAUGUAAAUCCUGUCAACCAUGAUCAGUAUUGGUAGUUCCCUUGCUUCCAGGAUAUACCUGCAUUUAACAGCAAACCAUGGUAAGUAUUGGUAAUUCACUACAUUGAAAAGCAUUUUGGCAAACUUCACAAAUGUACCUGUUGAAAACUUCACAAAUGUUGUUAAGCAGAAUAUCACAUUUUGGCAAGUCACUUUGAAAAGCCUUAACCCAAGUUUGUGGUUCUAGCUCAUGCAGCCAUUUGUAUGCCUUAACAUUAAGAACCUUCAUCUCCUCCAUGCCCUGUUCAUACAACUGCACUGUAUUGCUCCUAGCUAUCUUCCAGAGUUGAUUCUUCAAGAUGUCACCUUUGAAAUGUUGUUGAAAGUUUUGCCACAUGUGCCUAACACAAUAUCUGUGUUCUGACUCAGGGAACAGUCCUUCAACUGCAUUGAUGAGCCCCUACAAUUGCAAAGCAACAUAACCAUUCAGAAGCUAUUCACAACCAUUCACAUAGUAAUUACACAUAAACUUUGAAAAAAAAGAUGGUACUUACCUUUUGUUUGUCUGACAUGAUAGUCCAAGGUUCAGUGUUUAUGAUGCCUAGGUCCCUUUUGAGUGUGUCAAGAAACCAUGACCAGUUAGGGGUGUCCUUAACUUCAACCACAGCAAUGGCAAUUGGAAAUAUGCAGUUAUUUGGAUCUACCCCAACAGCUGCAAGCAGUUGUCCUCUGUAUCUAGUUUUAAUGUGGCAACCAUCUAGGAAGAUGACUGGUCUACAACCCUCCAGAAAUCCUCUCUUGCAAGCAUAUAGACACAUGUACAACUUGCUGAACCUAGCAUUUUCAUCUAAUGAAACAUAGAAGGAUGAGCCAGGGUUGCUUCUCCUUACCUCAUUAGCAUAAUUCCAUAGCAGCUUGUACUGCCCUUCCUCAUCACCAUAAAUAAUUUUUAUAGCCAUUCUCCUUGCUCUUUGAAGUUUCAUCCUAGUGGGUGUCAUAUGCCAUUCUUUCUGAACAACCCUUGAGAAAUUCAUCAAGUUCAUAUCUUGAUCAGCCCUAAAGCUCUCUAGGUAUUUCAUUGCUAGGAAUCUUGGUGUGAAAGCCCUAAUCUUCCACUUCUUGCUGCAUGUGUGCUCAUGCACAUAUCUCUUCACCAUGAAAGCCUUAGUUCUGCUAUCAUAUGAUGCCCACAAGUACCAUGUGCAGUCUUCAUCACAUUUUGCUUUCACUCUUUUCCUAUCAUUCACAGGAAGCUUGAUAUCAGCUCUGUUCUGGCAGGAGUACUCUUUAAUUGCUUUCUUAGAAGCUCCACACUCUCAAAAACCUGCCCUACAUGGAAUUUUGGCCUAUGAAGAUCCUCUGGUCUGAAAGUUUUGAACUUUAAAUGCAUUUCCUCAUCAUCAGAAUCAGGUGCCCACAAAUCUUCACCUUCAGACAAGUCUUCAUCUGAAUUGUACUGCUGCUUGCUUUUGUCUUCAUCUGUAGGUUUCACAUGCUUGACUUUCUCCUUUGAAUUGUUCUUAUGGUUCUGUUCUGGUUCAUCCUCAUCAACAUUAUCUGCAAACAAGUCAUCAUCAUCAUUUCCUAUCUCAUUGUCACUGUCCACAAGUACACCUGGGUCAUAGUCCUCAUCAUCUGUAUCACUUGCAUCAUCCUCUGCUUCCAUAUCAUGACUGCUUUUGAUCCUCCUACUUGAUGUGCUUCCUCCAACAUCCUCAUUUGCAACAGCUUCUGCAUCUUUCCCUGCUUCAACUUCAGGGUAUACAACCUGGAGAGGAGUAGGUGCUGCCUCUGGUUCUGCCUCUGCUUCCCCUGUUUUUGCAGUCAUGCUGCUGCCCACUCUUUUUGCAGGACUAAAUACUGGAGGCAAAGUGGCUCUAGGAUAGUUCACAACAUCAUCCUCACUUAGGUUUGCUUGUAAGCUCUCAUCAUGAUCAAGAUAUAUACUAAAGGAGUGGUGCCCAAUAUCAAUAAACAUCAACAUUCUAUCUGUUUGCUCAUCAUCACUAAGCUGCUUGAGACCAUUAUUACUGAGUGUAAGGAUGGUUGACACAAUAGUAUACCUUCAACCUCCCUGCCAUCUCAUAACCAAUCUCCUCAACAAGGUGUUCAAUCAUAAUUGGUGACCAAGUGACCUUCUCCAGAUUAUCGUACCAAAUGGCACGACCAUUAACAUAAGCACGAUUACUUCCAUGCCCAACAAAAAAUCCACCAUGGUUGAUUUGCACAGAGAAGUUGGUGCUUCGAGGGCCUGAUACACAAGACAGAAACAUCAUGCAUCAUAAUUGACUCUAGCAUCAUUUCAUUCGAGUUUCUAAAACCCUAACCCCCAAAGACCAUCAAAUCCAAUACCGAAACCAUCGAAACUACCAGCUGCAUACCAUCUAUAAUGACAAUGCGGGCCAAAAAGGAGUGUCUUUGAACAUCAAAAUGCAAAAAAAGUCGGAUUUAUGCAAGAUGAAACUUACUGUACACGGGGGGAGGCGCCCCUUCUGCGCGACGAACAGGGGCCAUCGCCACCACCUACCACCGGUGGAAUUGACGCGGCGGCGGCGCCUCUCCAGCCACGGAAGAAAUCAGCACGCGGCGGCGCCUGUAGGCCGAUGAUCGCCGGGGCGGCGACGCCUAUGCAGCGCCUUCCCUGUCUCCAAUCGAAGACGAAGAGGCGUCGUCAGAUAGAGGAGCGGGGCGGACAGCGGUGGUGUGGUGGGGCGAUUUUACACUUAAUCCCUCGCCGCAAGAUUGGCCUAAUCGGAGCUGAGAACGUGGCGGUCAACAGGUGGUCAAAGGAGCGGCUACUCACCGCAUACGACCAACAGUGACCGUACAUUCACGUCACAUCGUAUAUAGUGACCGUAACAGCCGUAUUUCUAAGUUCAGUGACUGUAUCGGGCUCUCGUCGCAACUACAAUGACCGUGAGUGUAAGACAAUAAGUUUUGGGGGAACCAGCACAACCCUCUAGGGGUGGCUUAUCUCAUUAUAUAUAAUGGAUGUGUUACAAUAUGUACAAUAUACGUACAUAAGUACAGAAGCUAUACAUAGUCUAACACCCUCCCUCAAUCUUAGCCACUUUCUAAAGAACUGAGAAGGGUAAGAUUGCGCCUACAAGCCUCAAACUGUGGCAGAGGUAAAGGCUUAGUGAAGAUGUCUGCAAGUUGAUCCUUAGAUGAGAUAAACUUGAUCUGGAGUUGCUUCUGUGAUACACGUUCCCGUACAAAGUGAUAAUCAACUUCAAUGUGUUUCGUUCGGGCAUGAAAUACUGGAUUUGCAGAAAGGUAUGUAGCACCGAUGUUAUCACACCAAAGAAUAGGAGGCUGUGGUUGAGACAAACCCAACUCCUGAAGCAAAGACUGCACCCAAAUAAUCUCUGUAGUAGCAUUAGCCACAACCUUGUACUCAGCUUCAGUACUGCUACGUGACACAGUAGCCUGUUUCCGAGCACUCCAGGCGAUCAAAUUAGGGCCAAAGAAUACUGCAUAACCCCCCGUGGAUCGCCUGUCAUCUGGGCUACCAGCCCAAUCUGCAUCAGAGAAGGCCGAAAGGACCCGAGAGGAAGUCGGCCGAAUAUGCAUACCAAAUGUCAGGGUGAACUGAACAUAACGAAGAAUGCGUUUAACAGCAGCCCAAUGAGUAUCUCUGGGAGCCUGAAGAUACUGACAAACCCUGUUAACAGCAUAAGAGAUAUCCGGUCUCGUGAUCGUCAAGUACUGAAGUCCACCAACAAUGCUCCUGUACUCUGUGGCAUCCGCAGGAGACAAAAGCUCACCAUCAACAGCUGUUAUCUUGUCGGUAGACGACAUGGGUGUGGUGGUCGGUUUGCACUUCAGCAUGCCCGCUCUUUGUAACAACUCCAAGGAGUACUUCUUCUGCGUAAGGACAAGACCAGUAGCACGAGAAGUGACCUCAACUCCAAGAAAGUAGUGAAGCUUCCCAAGAUCUUUGACCGCAAAAUCAGCACCAAGAGAGCAGACAAGAGCAUCAGCAGCAUACUGAGAAGAGCUGACAAGGAUAAUAUCAUCGACAUAUACCAAAAGAUACAUAGUGACUUCUGGCUUCUGUAGAAGAAAUAAUGAAGUGUCAGCAGUGGACGGCACAAACCCAUGAGCACGAAGGGCAGAGGCAAGGCGGGCAUGCCAGGCACGAGGAGCUUGCUUCAAACCAUAUAGUGCUUUGGAGAGACGACAGAUAUAGUCAGGACGAUCAGGAUCAGAGAAACCAGGCGGUUGUUUCAUAUAAACCUCUUCCUCCAAAAAUCCAUGUAGAAAAGCAUUCUGCACAUCAAGUUGACGAAGUGACCAACCACGAGAAACAGCAAUGGAGAGAAGAAGCCGAAUAGUGGUAGGCUUGACGACAGGACUGAAGGUGUCCUCAUAGUCAAGACCAUGGCGCUGCCGAAAACCGCGAGCAACAAGUCGCGCUUUGUAACGCUCAAUAGAUCCAUCCGAAUGCUUCUUCACUUUGAAUACCCAUUUUGAGUCAAUAACAUUUACCCGUGGUGGUGGAGGAACGAGAGUCCAUGUCUUGUUACGAAGGAGAGCAUCAAACUCCUGCUCCAUAGCCUCUCGCCAAUGUGGAAUGCGCAGGGCAGCCUGAUAUGAGCGAGGCUCAGAAGAUGGAUCCGCAACAGCAGCAGCCAAACAAGCAGCCAACCAAGCAACCGUACCAUCCUUACGUUCCUUAGGUUUGAAAAUGCCACUGCGACUGCGUGUAUGUGGUCGGGACACAGGAACCACCGAGGUCGACGGAGCAGCCUGCAACGGGCUGGAGGACGGCGACGUUGACGAGUCAGCCGGUGACGAGGAGCCAGACACGGUAGCCUCGGGCUCGGUCGGCGAAGAAGGCCGGCCCACCGGCGAAACCGGCAGAGCAGACGAAGCAGUUGGCGACGCCGGCGUCACAGACCGGGCCGAUGGCGAGCCCGGCAUAGUGGGCUGUGGCGCGGCCGGUGUCGCGGGCCGAUCCGCGGAUGAAGGCGACGUGAGGACGGCGUCGCGGACCCGAGCUGCAGGCGAAGACGGCGUGACGGGCCGAGCCGCGGGCGAAGACGGCGUGACAGGCCGAGCCGCUGAAGACUCGGCGGCCGCUGGCGAAGAGGGCCGAGCCGCUGGAUACUCGGCGGUCGCUGGCGUAGCGGACCGAGCAGUGGAGAUGCUCGGCGCGACGGGCUCUUCGGGUGACCAUGCAUGGGCACGCGAAUCGAUGCCAUGCAACAUAGGGCGAUCGACGUGCCCAUCAGAAGGCGGCGAUGAUGAUGGUGAAUCCUCCAACAGCUCCAAACGAGCCCCACGUCCGGUUCCUACACCAUGGUUAGGUAACAGCAAAGGAGAGUAUGCAACAUCAUCAAAUUGGUCAGAAGCAACAGAGGAUGAAUGCAGAGAUGGUGGUUCGAUAGUGGACACAGGAAGUUUGGCAAAGGGAAAAACAUGCUCAUCAAACACGACGUCCCGAGAUAUAUAGACACGAUUAGUGGGAACAUGAAGACAUUUGUAACCUUUAUGAAGAGAGCUAUAGCCAAGAAAAACACACUUCUUAGAACGAAACUCAAGCUUGCGCUUAUUAUAUGGACGAAGAUGCGGCCAGCAAGCACACCCAAAUACCUUGAAAAAGGUAUAAUCAGGUUGUUCAUUAAGGAGAACCUCAAUGGGAGUCUUCAUGUUUAAAACACGAGUGGGAGUACGGUUGAUGAGAAAGCAUGCAGUGGUGAAAGCAUCACUCCAAAACCGAAACGGAAUAGAUGCAUGGGCCAAAAGAGUAAGACCAGCUUCAACAAUAUGACGAUGCUUACGUUCGACUGAACCAUUCUGCUGAUGUGUAUGUGGACAUGCUAAACGAUGAGCUAUCCCAAGCGACUGAAAGAAGGAGUUGAGGUUNNNNNNNNNNNNNNNNNNNNNNNNNNNNNNNNNNNNNNNNNNNNNNNNNNNNNNNNNNNNNNNNACUGGACAUGAACAAUUUUGUGCUUGAGAAGACGUUCAACAUGUUUUUGAAACUGAACAAAAAUAUCAAACGCAUCAGAUUUGCGUUUAAUAAGGUAAAGCCAGGUAAAGCGACUAUAAGCAUCAACGAAACUGAUAUAGUAAUUAUGACCACUGACAGAAGUCUGAGCAGGACCCCAUACAUCUGAAAACACAAGUUCUAAAGGAUGUUUCACCUCACGACUGGACUACGAAAAAGGAAGUUGAUGACUCUUCCCCUGCUGACAAGCAUCACACACUGCUACAUCUUUAUUACUAGACAAACUAGGAAGCUCAUGACGAUGCAAAAUAUGACGGACAAUAGGUGUGGCGGGGUGACCAAGACGAGCAUGCCACUGUGACGGAGAGACCCGAACUCCACUGAAAACACGGGCGACGCCAGGAUGCUCCAGACGGUAGAGGCCCUGGCACAACCGCCCACUAAGAAAAAUGUCCCUCGUGCCCCGAUCCUUAAUAAAAAGAUCAAAAGGGUGAAAUUCACAAAGCACAUUAUUAUCACGUGUGAGUUUAGGAACUGAAAGAAGAUUACGGGUCACAGAUGGAACUCGAAGAACAUUGCGAAGCUGAAGACUCCUAUUGGCAUGUCUAGUGAGAAGAGAUGCUUGACCAAUAUGAGAGAUGUGCAUACCUGCUCCAUUGGCGGUGUGGAUCUUGUCGGAGCCAUGAUAGGGUUCACGAGUGUGAAGCUUCCCCAUCUCGCUGGUCAGAUGCUCUGUCGCCCCAGAGUCCAUGUACCAGUGUGGAUCGAUGGAGUAGGACUGAGUGUGUCCCUGUUGCUUCUGCGGCGCGGGACGAUCAGCCAUGGCGACCUGAUGGGCAUUGUUGCGUGUAUCUUUGCCGUCAUUGCCAAGACCAAGGAAGCUUCGCUGGAAGCGCUUAUGACACUUGGAGGCCCAGUGCCCAUCGCGGCCACAAAGCUGGCACACACGUGGACCGCCAGCCCCCGGUAAGGUCGCAGUAGGUGGGGGGGCCGAGGCGGGCGACGGUGGCAGCCCCAAGGGAGACCGGGGUGAUGAAGAAGAGCGGCCACCCUUGGUGGCGGCGUUGGCCGAGAGGGAGCCAGUGCCCCUGGAGCGGCGUGUCUCGACCCGUUGCUCAGUGAGAAGGAGCCGAGAGAAAACCUCGUGUGCCAGCAUGGGUGUCGAGUUGCCCCGCUCGUUGAUGAUCUCGACUAAGGCAUCAUACUCCUCAUCAAGACCAUUGACAAUAAACGAGUUGAACUCGGAGUCGGUGAGGGGCUGUCCAAUGGAGGCCAAUGUGUCGGCGAGGCCCUUGACCUUGUUGUAGAACUCAGUGGCAGUGGAGUCAAGCUUCUAACACUCUCCAAGCUGACGACGGAGUGCAUAGACACGAGCCUGGGACUGCGCUGCAAAGGUUCGCUCAAGAAUGGUCCAGGCCUCAUGAGACGUCUUCGCGAAGACAACAAGUCCGGCAACUGCCGGCGAGAGCGACCCCUGGAUGGAGGAGAGGUUCGCCUGGUCCUGCCCCGUCCAGACGCGAUGGGCCGGAUUAUAGACCGGACCGUGCACGCUGUCUACCAGUGCGGGUGGGCAGGGAAGCGAUCCGUCGACGUAGCCUAGCAGGUAGUGACUCCCCAAGAGCGGGAGAACCUGCGCACGCCAGAAGAUGUAGUUGUCGGCGGAGAGCUUGAUGGUGAUGAGAUGACCGAAGUGAAACGGCGGCGGCGAAGACGAUCCCAUCGAGGGGGCUGCCUGGGGUGCAAACACCAUGGAGGCAGCCGGAGGCACCGAAGCCGAUGCGGGAGGAGGCGGGACCGCAGCCAGGGCGGACAUCGCAAAGCUCGCGGCCGGGUCGGACACCGCAAGGCCCGCGGCCGGGGCGGACGCCGCCAACCCUGCCAGCGGGGCGGUGUGAUCCGCUUGCGGCAGGAGCGGCGGGACGACGCCCGCGGAGUCCGCAGCGGACGGCGGCGCCGUGGUGUGGACCACGAGGUCGCGCCCAAGCGAGGGCGCCGGCGGCGUGGAGUAGACGGAGCCGAUGCUCCUGGUCCCGAUCGGAGCCGGAACGGCGACGGCAUCGAGCGGGAGGUUGAGCAGAGCCGCAAGAGAGGCCGGGAGGAACCCCGCAGCAGUGGAACCGGUGGUGGCGGCGCUCGACAUGGCGGCGGUGAAGGCGGCGGCGGCUGCGGCUGCGGCGGCGGUGCGGGUAUUAGGGUUUGGAAGCGGAAGCGAUCGUAACCUAGCGUGAUAACAUGUAAGACAAUAAGUUUUGGGGGAACCAGCACAACCCUCUAGGGGUGGCUUAUCUCAUUAUAUAUAAUGGAUGUGUUACAAUAUGUACAAUAUACGUACAUAAGUACAGAAGCUAUACAUAGUCUAACAGUGAGGGUAUUUAUCUCCGAAUUAAAACUCGGGUUGAUUCCAGUGUCCACUGCAUGCAUCGAUCCCCGAUUUGAUCCCCGCACGUCGUUAGUCAUUACUCGAUCGGUUGGUGAUCGACUUUGCAUCGGCUGGUGGUCGAUCGCAUCGUCGUAGGUUCCACGCCGUACAUGCCCUUUGCUAGGGAGCCUACAUAAGUCAGAGCGUAACUGAUUCUCCGUCUUUCAUUUCCGCGAGUGCGGUGCGCCAGCCGGGCAUUAAUAUACCAGUGCAACAAGAGUUGGAGCUCGCAGCGUGGAUUGGCCUGGCUGGUUACCAACUCUUAUAGCAUCUCCAAUGCCGAAUCUCAAAUCGCUCGUCAUCGUCUAGACCGAGCUGUCUAAAGGGCAUUUUGUCAAUCCAACGUGGCACCUCAUCGGUCCAUAGAGUAGUUCAAACGUCUACUUUUCCACAAGCGGACGCAAACCAGGGGCUUUGCGGGCGUCUAGACCGCUGCCACGUACCCGGCCGCCAACCCGGUCCCACCCAAAUCCUCUCCCACGCCCGCACACUCUAACCUGCAAAGCGGUUGCCGCGCAUUCAUGCCGGUCCAGAGUGCCAACGCCUCAUGCAGGCCGGCCUAGAGCGGAUACAACCUCUUACUGCAGCAGCAGUUAUUGAAGCGGCAUGUCAGCAAAAGGCGUUGCCUAUUCUCCGUGCAUGUUCCAAUACCGGAGACGCGUGACCUGGCGGGGCUGGACGACUGUGCACCGCAUUCAAACUGGAUCUCGCUCAUCUUCUUGUCAGCAUUAAACUGGUGCGGCAGCAGAGAAACCUACUCCGGCACCCGUAUUGGAACACCACGCCACGUGUCCCGAAUGGUGUAGCUAUUUAAACGCUGCCUCCUCCCCUUGCACGACCAGCACGACCACACCACGUCAUCCAUGACCACGAGCUGUAGACAUAUGUGGGAGAGCCUCAUGAUGGAGUAGAAGGAAGAGUUGGCCUGCAUUGGGGCCGACCGGGUGGCCCGUCGUGCGCGACAGACUGAGGAUGGCUUGCCAGCUAGCUCGUCGGAGGUUAGCGAAGAGGAGGCGUCUGACGAUGAUCUGAUGCCCUAGCCUGCGUAGUUGCACUUCAAUGUCAUUGUGGCUGAAAAGCAGCCAGUGUCACCUGUCACGGCGUCCCAACAGGAACCGGGGACGGGGCAGCACUACACCCUCUGGCUCCUUGACGAGCACCGGAUCGCGGGGGCGGGGAGGGGAGGCAAAUCAUCGACGAGCAGGCGAAUGACGAUGUCAUCAAGGCAUGGUCACGGAGGAACCGAGCUUCUUGGAUGAGCAGUGGGCGUUGGACAAGUUCAUGCGGGAUUGCAACUGCGUAUCCAGCGGGCGAACAUAUAUGCCUUGUUCACGGAUAUCGACGCGGUGGCAGAGGAAGAGGUUGCGCAGGCAACCGCGGACAUCGCUAGCUCCGCAUCGGCCAUGCCACCACUGCGGUUCGCGCCCCGCCACAAUGACCAAGACCCGACCUUGCACGUCCAGUGCCAUCGAUAUGGCGGACAACGGCAUGGAAAAGUAGAACAUGGAAGGCCACCAUGGCUUGAGUCCCAGGAAGACCACUGCCCACGUCUUGUCGGGGAUCACAACUCGUUAGCUUGUCGGACAUGGUGAAGACUGCCAUGGGAACGGACGCCACUGUGGCUGGCGAUCAUUUAGACUAGGUUAAAAAAGUCUAGUCCGCUAUAGUUUAGUUGAAAUAUGGUGAAAUGUAAUGAUUUUGAUCCGAUUUAGAUGAAAAUCAUCCAGUUUGCAUGAAUGUUAUCUGGUUUAUUCAAAUUCACUUCAAAAAUGUAUGCGGGAACGGUUGGAUAUCCGGCUCCCAUAUCACUUUUUCCGGACGCAUCUGGGCGCGUCGGCAGACGAUUAUUGUGUCCUUUUUAGGGGUUCGCAGUGGAGCUGCCCUUAUGUGGCUUUUAUAUUCGUUCCAAAGGGCCUUUAGAAGGAAAACUAAUGUCUCCAGAGUAAAUGUGCACAGUCAGGUUUCAUAAGCUGUAGCAUCAUUUCCUCUCCUGUUUCUCUCAUUUACUUUGUUGUUUAUAUCGCUCCAUUUAACAUCCAAUUUCAAAGGAAGAUGACACAAACUUUUAGGUGUUGAGCGUCACACAAUUUCACAAAAUUUGCAAUACAUUAAUCUCAAAAUGUCAAACUCAAGUCCAAAUGUGACUACAUAUAACCAUGCAUAGAUAGUUUCCGAAUGUGACAUAGACAUGGAUAGGUUCUAAGACAUACUGCAAAUAUCUAAGGACGCAAUGGGACGACAUAGCAUGGAUUGUGCUCGUCAUAGGAGUAGGAGAAAGAUAUUUCCAUGAUCAUGGCGGCAGCCGCCUGGGCAGCCCUCAUCCGUCCAUCCCGCUUGGCCCAGGCGGCGGUCUCGAAGGUGUAAGGCUCUGUUGUAUCCUUGAGCAUAUGCUCAUGUUUGGCCAAGCGUGGGCCUUAGUGGUGGAAGUGGAGGCCUCUAUCGCCUUCUGGAGCCUCCUCUCCUCUUCGGCCAUGGUCAUGCCAUCCUCAUUGGCCGACUCGACGAGAUUAUCCCAAGUGAUCUCGUCAUGGGAGUCCUGGGGAGGCAGGAGGGCCUGGACAUCAAGGGGAACUGAAAAGUGCACCUAUUGCCUUUAGUAGGUUUUGAUGAUAUAUGAUAGCUUGAUUAACAGUACUAAUGUUUUCUCUCAGUGUUUAUCAUCUUAUGUCCCAAAAGAUGCGAUUUCAUAGUAUUUAGUGAUCGAAUAUCACUUUGGAUCCAAAGACAUGCCAAUAUUAUCAAAGGGGGAUUCAGGUAUGUGUGAUAAAGUUUUUUUUGAAAGUUCUUGAAGAUCGGACUUUGAAAAGGUCAGAAGUCUCAUAAAAUCGAGUAGGAGUGAAAUCGGAUCAGAUUCAGACGGAUAAUGUGCAUGCCAUACCCUAUUCUGUUUUUUGGAUUUGAAAGCAAGACAAAUGUGGUAUGGAUGCAGAUUCGAAUACCGGAUUAUGUUGGAUUCAGACAUGGUACGGUGACAAAUCGGACACAGAUCAGAAACAGACAUACUACAUGCAUAUAUGACGAAUAUAUACAUGCUCUAAACUAAAAUUAUACAUAAAACCAAAGUAAAUAUUAGUAAUUAUACACUUAACACAUAAAGCACUAGAAGGUACUAAAGUAAUCCAAAUAAAAUAUAAGAAGCACAUAUCUAAUGUCAUAAGCAUAUAAAUACAAGUAUUGCUAGUUAAUAUUUAAAACUGUACCAAUUAAUUAUAUAACCAUAUUUAAAAGUUUGGAUUAUCCAUAUAAAAAGGAUUAUCAUAACCAUGGCAUAUUAGUAAGGGCAUCUCCAAAGCGUACCCUCAAACCUCCCCUAUAUGUCCUGGCCACAGUUCUGGAACACUUUUGUCAUCCAAUGGGAACCUAUAUAUGUCCGCUGAGCAGUCCGUACGUACGAAUUCCGGCAUCCUAGUAACAAAUGUGGAGGGGGAGGGGGGUUUGCCGGAGUCCGGACAUGCACUUGACCAACACAAAGCCUCCGGUCUUCCUCUCUUUUCUCUCUAUCUUCACAUGCAUGGCCCCCCUCCCCUCAUUCUCUUCCGAACCAGAUACCACACCACAAUAUCCCAUCAAAAGUAUCUGCAUGCAUGGUAUCCCCUUUUUGUCUCUCCUCCCAACCGGACAAAUAUAGAUUAAUUUGUGAAUAGCGUUGGAUGGCUCACAUGAAAAUCAUAGAUUAACUUUAUCAUAAGCUUUCUCAUACUGAAUUAUAAAAACCAAGCAUCUCUGCUUCGAAGUCAAAAUGGAAUGCACGGUGUUCCUCGUAAUAUUGCGUCUUCAUGGAAAAUGACAACGGUUGGGAAAGGGUGUACUUCGCAAUUGAUUAUAGCUUGAUUCAUACAUAGUAACUUCUUACAAAAAUUGGCAGAAAUAUUACAAACCUUGGUAAAGAAACACCAACACCCACACACUUGUCUGACACACUGACCCCUGACCCUCAUAACACUUAUUCUGAAGUCAUUAUGCAAAUAUUGAAAAACAGGGUAGGGAAUGAUAAAAGGCUAAACCAACCGUGCAUGCGGCGAUCAUAAAUAGCAACGUCACCCAGAGCACGAAACCAUGGGGAUUUCAGUGCUGGCCCGGAAGGUGGUAGAGACUGGAUCACUGGAGUCAGUGGUGUCCAUGGUAUCCACCGCCACCGCCACCGCCGUAGGUGGGCAUGGGAGGGACGGGAUGGUAGUCUGGGUGGGGCUGCGGCUUCGGCUCCGGCUUGGCCGCUUGGGCACGGGGUGGUAGUCCGGGUGAGGCUGGGGCUUGGGCUCCGGCUUCGGUGGCACGGGCUUCUUGUGGUGGAAGUGCUCGAUGAUGUGCUUCUUGAUUGUCCCGCACAGGGUCAUGGACGCACACUCGAGCGACGCCACGGAUGGCGUGGCGGUAUUGGCGCCGGCGAUGACACCGAAGGUGGUGCCCUCGGACACCGGCACGAUCUUGGAUGGCUCCUGGCCAGGGCACGGCGCGUUGGAUGCGGCGCUAUGGAGCUGAGCCAUGCAGUCGGCGCCAUGGAGGUCAGAAGCGAGGGGCACGCUGAAGGCGCCGGUGCCGUCGAGGGCACCCACCGCCUUGCUUGCUCUCGUAGUCGCCGUAGACGUUCUUGCACCUGAUCGCCACCUGGAGACCUGAGGUACGUUGACGGCAGAGGACAACCAUGAGCCGAUCUCCAUCUAUAUAGGUGUGUAUUUCGGGUGUGUAUAUAGUAGUAGUACGAUUGAGCUGCAUAUGUAGCUUACCCUUGAAGGCUUCCUCGGCCUUGAUGUUCUUCCUGGUGCAGUCGGCGCACUUGGCCAGACCGACGACGACGGACGCCGCCUCGGCGUUGGAAACGGCGGUCGCCAGGAGGACGGUGAGGACCAGUGCUCUCGUUGGAGCCGCCAUGUUUUUUUUUAGAAUGAAGGCUCGCGAAGAGCCCGACUUUGAAUUAACAAAACCAUCAACUGGCCAGGAAUUACAGACAAACAACAGACCACAUCGGCCCAACAAUACAAGGGAGCAUUCUAGGGAGCUUACAACUCAACGCCGCGCACAAGCUUGAAAGAAAAAUUAAAACAAAGCCCAUAGCUUGCACUAGCAGAAGACCGCAACAAACAGUACCGAGGGAAGCGACCAUCAAGCAGGAUUGAGGACCUGCUAAAACAGAGUGUGGGCAUGAACUGAACUGACGCCCAGGAUGAAGAGAUCGAAGCAUCUUCCUCCUCUCGUGCCGCCAUGUCUGAACCCGUGAAUCGAACUCAGCUUGCCUGUGUGAAGUGGCUGAUGGAUGAAUGGAUGGAACAGGCGACGCAUGGCUUUUAUAGGCCGCCGCAUUGAUCGGCGCAGCUCGAUGGGUGGUGUGGUGGCCGGCGAAGUGAUGCGUGACAACGAGAGGCCGGCUAACUCACCGAAAUUUCAGAUGGCGAGUUGAAUACCGCGCCGGCUGGAUGAUCGGAUCGGUCGGUGCGUGUGCCUCCACGUCGCUAUUGGUGAUCAACUUGGUUUGGUGGUGGAGUACGUAGGUAGGCACGGGCCGCGUCUCUCGGCAUGCACAUGCAUUUGCGUGAGUGCGUGCAUGCAUGCAUGCAGCGUAAGUUCGUAGUAGUACCCUGUUUGCUGGUGGUAAGCUGGUGUUGGAUCGACAUCAAAAUUGCUGUAAAGUGUAUGUCCAUUUUGGGGAGUAGGGAGCUUGCGGUACAGUACCAGUGAGCACUGCUUUGUUGUUCACAAGUAGAAUGUUGUGAAAAUAUGAGCAGCUUUCAGUUAUGUUUAAUCCACGAAAAAACAGAUAGAAGAUGAUCAACAUAUAGUUGACAUGAUAUUCCAACAAGAGAAGUUGGUAAACAGAACAAAAGAUCGAAGGCUAAUAGUUCAAGUUCACAUGAUCCCAUACAAGGUUAGAUUUGAUCUUACCAACAACAAGUUGCAUCGGAAAAAGAGUUGCUGAAGAUCGUGUUCUUGAAGUCCCACAAACAUAACCCUCGAACUAGAACUGAACAUACAGCCCCUCUAUGGAUCGCACCCUUAGUAUGAAACCAUCGAAUUCGAGGAUGUAGCCAAGUGCUAAUUUCAAAACGGUGUAGUGUUCAUGGUUUGAGAGUUCCAGGUCUACUUGCUACUCGUUCUAUGCCACAAUAUUUUUUGGCGAAAAAUUUAUUUUCAUCUUUUUAUUCCACUUUUUGACAAGCUAGUGAAGCCAAAAAUAACCUAACAUGUUAGGAUUGACAACCUACACUUAACUAUCAAGACUAGUGGGUGUGGAAGACCCUAUAGUCAUUCAAAAGUAACAAGUACACUAGAACUCAACCUAAUUCAUAUCUCCAAUAGAAAUAUUGAACGUUGUAGUAUCAUCAUUCAUCAUUAAGACACGCUGAUCGUAGAUAGAUAGUUCCUCCCAUACUCAUGGGGAGCUUUUUUGCAAUUUACGUAUUAUGCAAACUGAAAAUAAACUAACUCAAUUUUGAGGAAAGUAAACAUAUGAAAACGGUAAAGAUGUAAGGGCUUAUAUAUGAAUCUCCCCAAGCUUAAGCACUAAACCGGCAGGAUCUAAUAAUCCCUCUCAGUCGAUGGUACCUCGGGGUUUCUUCUCCCUUGUAGUGGAAGUGUUGUAUGCAAGGGCCUGAUGGAACAACUCAUUAGUCUUCUCUAGGUCAGCGAUGUGAUGUUGGUUCAUCCGCACAAUUUCCUCUAGGUUGGCAGUGAGGCAGGCGUUGAGAGUGGACUACUGGACUUAGUGUCCUCAACAAUCUUUUUCUCCAACUGCCUGAGAUGUUCAUGCAAAGGAUCACGGUUGAUGGGUGACCCAUUAGCAUGUACCUCAAGCCAACGAAUGUGCUCGUUGAUGUUGAUAGGAUGCGGCUUCCGUGCAUAAUUGGGGUUGACGGGGUACUUCUUCUACCAUGCUCUAGGAAGCUUGACAGAUAUAUGAGCCCCAAUAUUGAUCUUCUUGCCGGUGGUGUGGUGUGACAAGUUUAUUGAUAGGUACCCUCCAACGAUAUAUGGAUGGUAUGGCCAUCCACGACGGUUGGGGUACCCUCCUUGGGGACUUCUUCCUCAGAUGAGCUAUCUCCACCUUGAUCCCACAUUCGCCAAUCAUGCUUGAGACCUCGUCCCAACGCAUCGGGAGAAGCGUCUUCCAGCUCGAAAUCCUCCUCGUGGAAUGGGCUUGAUCCAUGUGGUGGGCAUCCGCCGGCUGCAAAGGCGACCCUCCUCCUCCUGCGAGGUCAUCUGGCAUUCGUCCCAUGAGCGUGUCAUGGCCUAAGAGAUGCUUGCCUUUACAUAAAACUUAAUAUGCAACUGGAAUAGAUUGGUUUGUCAAUGGCUAAAGGAGAGCACUCCCCAAAGGUAUAUAAAGACGUAAACCCGUCAAAUAUUCAUGAGAUUAAUUUUUGGAAGAAGAUUAGGAAAUAACCAAAGAUUUUCGGGAAAGAAUAAGGUGUCGCCGCGCGAUCAGAAGAAAAGAAGUGGCGUGGUACAAGCGAUUGCGCUCAUACCAACAGACCACCGUGUCGGUGCCCUUCGGGCAAUCGCCGCUCUGGCCCACCCAGUACAAGGCACCUAUCUACUUUGCCACCAAUCAAUACGAUCAACCCGGAGUGCAGCAAUCAUCGCAGUACUCAAUUGCAUCCUUCAUCUCCGGCCACCCUCCACUCUACAUCAUCGACCACAACAAUGACUACAUGUUCACCGAGUCGCCGACACUCGUCCAGUUGCGGCUUCCGUCCAAGGAGCCCAUGUCCGACGGUGCCCAAUCACUGUUUGGCGGAAUGCCUCCCCUAAGCUCGAUGGCGGCGACUGAGCAACGAGGCAAUGAUGAACAUGAUCCUUAAUGGUGACGGCCAUGAAGAUGUACAGGUCUAUGAUGACUACUUACCGCAUCCGGAGCAAGAGACGUUGACGGACACCCGGUAGUCAUCGGUGCUCGAUGCGGACAGAAAUAAAAAGAGGGAUUUGGCGUACUCGAACAAGGAGGAUGAAUUAUUUUGUUUGAUGUGGUUAGGCACAAGUGUUGAACCGUUUCAAUGUACGGAGAAAAAGGGCUCGGCAUUUUGGCAAAGUGUGCACGAUUGGUUUCAUGGGAAAAGCAUUAUGAGCCCUACAACAAGGAAGUUGCUAAGCCAACAAUGGUACAUCAUUCAAGGGGCCAUCAACAAAGUAUCACGGUCCGUAUGCACAAAUAGAAAACUAGUGACUAAGUUGUGUGUCAACACUCCUUGAGUUCGUAACUUUUCUUCGUGAUGCUCUAUGUGUUGGUCAUUUGAUUGAUUUUCUCUAUGUUGCAACUUGUUGAUCAUGUCAUUGUAUUGCUUUGCUAGCCCGGACGGGUAGCCAUGUUGUACCACAAGAUUGAGGGCAAGCCAUUCAUGAUGAUGCAUUGUUGGUACAAGUUGAAUGCGCAAAGCAAGUGGAGCAGCAUUACCAAUUCUCUCAAGACCACCAACCCAAAGCAAGUGAUGAAGGUGGUGAUCCAAUCGGUGCAAUUUCUAGGAGGGCUUGCACUAGCCACCCAUGUGGCUAGGUCAACGGGAAAUAAAUGGGUGAAUGAGAAAGGAAGCGAGAAGGAGUGGCGGCCAAGACGACGGGGAAAUUAUAGGACAUCAUGGCGAAGUAAGAAGAGGCAUGUGCCAAGCACAAUGAGAUCAUGGAGGAAAUUGUUCGUGGAAAUCCAAAAGAAGAAGAUUGAGUUUAAGGAUAGGAAGCUUGCGGUCAAGUAAGUGUGUGAGGAGCAAAAGGUCUAGUACAUGGAGGCUGAUGACUUGGAUCACGACGCGGCCAAGCUUGUUCACGACUUGCAUGAUAGCAUGUACACACGCCUUGUGUAAAAGGAGAGGGGAAAGUAGGCCAAAAAUUGAGGCAUUUGAUAUGGACAGCCGGUUCAUUGCUUUUGGGGUCGAUAUAUAGAUGUACAAAACUUAUUGAGUAUCCGAUGAUUUUGCUAUUGGUUACAUUUUUUUGCAACCAUUUAAAUGUAUGAUCGAAUUGUUAUUGCUCUAGAAAAUUUGACAAAGAGAGAAGGCCCGACAAGUACCUAGGACAAAAUUUGAAGGACACAAUUGCAUGACACAUCCGUGAAGGACGCAAUUGCAUGACACAUCCGCCCGGACGGAUGUUGGCGGACAGGGAAAAAUGAAUGUACUUUUUUUUUGCGGUUGAAAAAAAAUGAAUGUACUUGAUUGAUCAAGAUAUAAUGAUCGAGUAACUUUUCAUUACCAAAAUUCACACCGGUAUUACAAACCUUGGGAAAAAAUGGCCCAUGACCCAUACAUUUGCCUGACACCCGUACUUAUCCCUCAGAACUGUUAUUCUGAAUGAUAGAAGACCAAGCUAACCCGUGCACAUAUAAAUAGCAACCUCAUUCACUCACUGACAGCAACAAGCCAUCUCAGUGCUGGGCGGGAGGGUGGCAGAUCGGAGUCAGUGGUGUCCGUGGUAUCCACCGCCACCGCCACCGCCGCCGCCGUAAGUGGGCGUGGGAGGGACGGGGUGAUAGUCCGGGUGGGGCUUCGGCUUGGGUUCGGGCUUGGGCACGGGGCCAUAGUCCGGGUGGGGCUGGGGCUUGGGCUCCGGCUUGGGCGGCACGGGCUUCUUGUGAUGGAAGUGCUCGAUGAUGUGCUUCUUGAUCGGCCCGCACAGGGUUGCGGACGCGCACUCUGGCGAUGCCACCGUGUCUGUCUUGGCGCCGGCGACGACACCGAAGGUGGUGCCCUCAGACACCGGUACGAUCUUGGAUGGCUCCUGGCCCGAGCAUGGCGCGUUGGAGGCGGCGCUGUGGAGCUGUGCAACGCAGUCGGCGCCGUGGAGGUCGGCGGCGAGGGGCACGCUGAAGGCACCGGUGCCGUCGAGGGCACCCACCGCCUUGCUCUCGUAGUCACCAGCGUUGUUCUUGCACUUGAUCGCCACCUGAAGACCUGUUGUACAUUCAUGGCAGAACAACAGUGAGCAGAAUAACAUCAUGCCUUUACAAAGUGGAGUAUUCUAUCAAAUCUAGCUAGCUAGCGCUUACCCUUGAAGGCUUCCUCGGCCUUGAUGUUCUUCAUGGUGCAGUCAGCGCACUUGGCCAGGCCGACGACGACGGACACCGCCUCGGCGUUGGCAACGGCGACCGCCAGCAGGACGGCGAGGACGAGUGCUCUCGGAGCUGCCAUGUCUGAACCUCUACCACUUGCUUGCCUGUGUGAAGUGGCUGAUGGAUGGAUGAAUGGAACAGGCGACGCAUGGCUUAUAUAGGCCUCGACAUUGAUCGAUCCAGCUCGGCCGAUGAUCUGGCUGCAUGCAUGCUCGAAGCACGAAGGGGUGUGGUGGGCGGCGAAGUGAUGCGUGACAAGGAGAGGCCGGCUAACUCGCCGAAAUUUCAGAUGGCAAAGUUAAUACGGCGUCCGCUGCAUGAUCGGAUCGGUCGGUGCAUGUGCGUCCACGUCGCUGUUGGUGAUCGACUUGGUUUGGUGGUGGAGUACGUAGGUAGGCACCGGCCGCGUCUCUCGGCAUGCACAUGCAUUUGCGUGCGUGUGUGCAUGCAGCGUAAGUUCGUAGUAGUAGUACCCUGUUUGCUGGUGUUGGAUCGACAUCACAGAUUGCUGUAAAGUGCAUGUCCAUUUGGGGAAUAGUGAGCUUGCGCUGAACUGCAAAAACGGCUUACAUUAAGUCACAUACUUCCUCCGUCUAGGUGUUAGGUUGUGCACCGUGAUGAAGGCAAAGAGAAAAACGAGAGAACUUAAUAUUUAUUUGAUAAUUAAUAGCAUUGCAUGCAAUAAACUGAACCAUUGCAUGUCGUGUUUGCAAGUCAUUGAAAGCAUACACAUCACACAUCUCUUAUUGCUUGAUUCCUUUAUUUAUGUCGAGAAACAGAAAUAAGGUGAGAGUUAAUGCACCACGCCUAAGUGUUUUGAGAUUAUUUAGUUUUCAUAAGGCUACUCAUAGUGGGGAGCAUCAUAUACUAGUAUCAUGCAUAUGAUACUACCUUCAUAGUGAACAGUAUCAUAGAGUAGUAUCAUAGAUGAUCUUGUUUAUUUCAUGCAUAACACAAAGUAGCAUAACAUUUAAUAUAAUACAAUAUAUAUCUAUGUUAAUCUAGCCCUCUCUCUCUCCUUUAAUUCUCGGCGACAUCAGCGUGUUUGCUAUUCCCAAGUGCAUGAUACUAGCUAAAAUACCACCAUUAUGACCAGCCUAAGAUGACUUGUAUACCUAGACACAGGGAGUAGGGAGUAGAAUGUGUUACAUAUGAGCAGUUUGUAAUUAUGUUUAAUCAAAGAAAAAACAUAUAGAAGAUGAUCAAUAUAGUUUACAUGAUAUUCGAACAAGAGAAGUUUCUUUUUACUCGGUACAGACGCAGACGCUUAUACAUACGCAUAUACACCCACUUCUAUAAACGCAAGGACGCACACCAUACCCCUAUGAGAACCUACGAGAGAUUGAGUUGGCACAUCAUCUUGAGUUUGACGCCAUCGUAGUGAACGGGAACGUCUCCUCGCACUGAACGCUCAUCGUCAAAAGGCCUAAAAUAAAAUCAGGAAAAUGCGAGCACCAAUGUUAAGUCUAGGACUUGAACUCUGGUGGGAUUUGUAUACCACUGUCCUCAUAACCAACCGACCACAGAUUGGUUCGCUCGAACAAGAGAAGUUAGUAAGCAAAACAGACAUGCUAUUCAACGGGUAUGGUAAACAUGGCAUGUACAGAUCAAAUGCUAAUGUAGUAAGGAACUGGAAGUAAUCCCUAAUGCGAAUGAAGAAGAGUUCGCAGUCAGCGCAUCACCGACGGUUGACAUGGCCUGGAGGGAUGGGGAGUCGUGUCCGGGAAGUAGUUUUCAUUGUAUGUCGCAAUGUCGGUCGCAUGAGAUCUCUCCCAGAGAUCAUGAUCUCCUCUCUCGCUCUCUCAUACAUGAUCACAAUAGAUGGGGUACCGGAGUCCUGUUGUUCUACAUUGUGGUGCAUGAAAGUGGAAUGGAAAGACGCGCGGCACAGAUCUGGAACUGAAGAAUGGUCUCAUGUACAUUUCUAUGUGGCCCCAUCUAUUUGCAGAGGAGCAACCUCUAAUAGGCUCUAACAAACGAAACAAGUCCACUAUGGAUGAUUCUGAGAUGAAGAGUCUACAAAUGUUCGGUUUCAUCUUCUACUAGUGCAAAAUAAUGUUUUCAAUCAUGUCACGCACGACAAGAGGAGUGACAGACAUGUGACAGGUCAGAGUCCAGCUCGUUCACGAAACACAAAGCGCGUCAGGCUAGGUGAUGUCAUGCAAAUGCAUAGAGUUUAGUUGUAGUUGUUUUCGGAGUAAGAGUAUUGAUCCCACAAAGAGCUGAGGAAAUGGUAUUUUACCCCUUGUAGAGGUUUAUCCGAAUUUGCCUGCAAGUUAUUUUUAGGUCCCAAGCAAAAGCAGUGUGAAAGGUGAAAUAUUGCAAGAGUGUGUGUGUGUGUGUGUGUGUGUGUGCGCGCGCGCGCGUGUGUGUGUGUGUGUGUGUGUGUGUGUGUGUGUGUGUGUGUGUGAGUGAGUGAGAAAGCAAGAAUUAAAGUGCACAAGAAUAAUGACUAAGAACAAGAGAGUAGUGAUAAUGAUAAAAACUCCAGUAGGGCUAAAAGGCGUUCUAUGGAGUCUAUGGAGUCUGUAUUCACCACUUGUAUUUAUUAUACCUAAUUGUGUAGAAACGCAACCUUUGGUUCAAAUACGUGAUCCAUGUUAUAUAUGUAUUGUGUGGGGAGAGCCAAUAAAAAGAUACGUGCAUAUUAGCGCAGUUCUGUAUCACGCACACCAUCACUGUCGCACCAAUGCAUAUCGGCAGAGUACAAUGGUGAUUGAGAGUCUCUUCAACGAUGUGGAAUAAAACACAUGAGUCUCCGUUGUUCCCUUACCAAUGAUUCGGUAAGGAGAGAGAGAGAGAGUUUUCAUCACUGUUGUACCUCUAACCCCACAUCACAAAGAUAAUAAUAUCCGUCAAGUCCCGAUGGGCUAAAUAUUGUGCAGUCAAUGUUCGCACAAUAUCAUGAAGAACAUUAACACGAUUAUAUAACAAAGAUUGUAUAUAUUAUCGUCAUUAGGAUCAUAUAAAUGCUAGUGCUCCCAUGUGUCCACAAGAACUGAUGAAUUACUCUGACAUAGAGGCACAAGACAUCGACGAGGUGUCCAUGGCAAUGGAAGAUGAAUUGUUAAUGUAACACACGUAUAAAUCUAGACCAGGGUUUGGGAUUACAAGAAGAUGAAUGAGGGAUAUUCAAUGUAAAGUAUGUGGAUGAUGUUGUUGAUGAUGAUGAUGGUUGAUGUUGUGGUCUCGGUGGUCGAAGCUUUGGCGAGGUGGUGCCCUUCUGCUGAUUGGCACUUCGGAUUCCUUUUGGAGAUGAGGUUUUCUGCUUCUAUUCUAUGGUAUGUGAUCUCUCUGUUUGUCACGUCCGAGAUCCGAUUGCACGGGGUGGAAGUACUCCAACAGGGAGAGGUGGCACCGUGCGGUACGACCACUGGUAUGAGCAGUCACGCUUGCACUGUGCGUCGUCUUCUCUACUAGAUAGCUGGGUGCAGCUAGUUUUCCUCCCACAUUCUCGUCUCAUCGUAUAGAAAGUCUUAAUUAUGUCUAAUCAGCAUAUUUUUCACACCAAAAAUAGAUGUUUUACAUUUAGUGUUCAAAAUAUCACGGGAUUUUGAUGAAAUCAAGCAAAAGGGCAAUCACCCGUGAUAAAGUACAGAAAAUUACAUGGUUAUUGAGGCCAAGUUCUGACCCCAGGUGCGGUUGAGCCUCACCUGAUCUAGUCUUGUUCCUUUGGUGUGUUGUCGUGCUCGUGGAUGACUGCUUUGACGAUGCUACCAGUGUUUCCUUUUUGUCUUCAGAAUGUUGGUUAUGUCGUGGCCUGUUAUCUGUGUCGUAAGCACUGUGUAUCCGCCAUCUUAUUUUCUUGCUUGUUGUAAGUGUGCUCGAUGUAAUUACUGAUUGGUUAAUGACUUUGUUAAUUCAAGGUCGGUCUCUCCUUAAACUUUCGCUCUGAAAAAAAAGGAAAUUUUGACAAAGAGAGAAUGUCGGACAAGUAUUUAGGGAGCAAAUUUGAAGGACAUGAUUGGAUAACAUCGGACCGGCCGGAUGUCCGCCGGCAAUUGGCGGCGUCCGUUUGGUGAUCGCUGGGGAAAAUGAGCGUACUUGGUUGAUUCAGAUAUAGGAACUUCUCAUUACAAAAAAUCACACCGAUAUUACAAAGCUUGUAAAAAAACUGACCCAUCACCCGUACAUUUGCCUGACACACAUACUUAUCCCUCACAACUGUUAUUCUGAAUGAUAGAAGAUCAAGCUAACCCGUGACAUAAAUAGCAACGUCGCUCACUCACUGACAGCAACAAGCCAUGAAAUUUCACUGUUGUGUCGGACGGUGGCAGAUCGGAGUCAGUGGUGUCCGUGGUAUCCACCGCCACCACCACCGCCGUAGGUGGGCGUGGGAGGGACCGGGUGGUAGUCCGGGUGGGGAUGCGGCUUGGGCUCGGGCUUGGGCACAGGGUGGUAGUCAGGGUGGCGCUGGGGCUUGGGCUCCGGCUUGGGCGGCACGGGCUUCUUGUGAUGGAAGUGCUCGAUGAUGUGCUUCUUGAUCGGCCCGCACAGGGUCGUGGACGCGCACUCUGGUGAUGCCAGCGCGUUCGUCUUGGCACCGGCGAUGACACCGAAGGUGGUGCCCUCGGACACCGGCACGAUCUUGGAUGGCUCCUGGCCGGAGCACGGCGCGUUGGAGGCGGCGUUGUGGAGCUGCGCGACGCAGUCGGCGCCGUGGAGGUCGGCGGCCAGGGGCACGCUGAAGGCGCCGCUGCCGUCAAGGGCACCUACCGCCUUGCUCUCGUACUCGCCGUCGACGUUCUUGCACUUGAUCGCCACAUGGAGACCUGAGAUACGUUAACAGGAGGAGGAUAACCAUGAGCCGAUCUCCAUCUAUAUAGCAGAAAAAGCUUGUCCUUCAAAUAAAUAUAUCUAGCACCAAGUUAGUGCUAGAUACAUCCAUUUGAGAAAGUUUGGGACCAAGUUUUUUCGGACAGAGGCAGUACACGAUUGAGCUGCAUAUGUAGCUUACCCUUGAAGGCUUUCUCGGUCUUGAUGUUCUUCCUGGUGCAAUCAGCGCAGGCCAGUCCGACGACGACGGACGCCGCCUCGGCGUUGGCAACAGCAACCGCCAGCAUGACGGCGAGGACGAGUGCUCUCGGAGCUGCCAUGUCUGAACCUCUACCACUUGCUUGCCUGUGUUGGAAGGAUGAAUGGAACAGGCGACGCAUGGCUUAUAUAGGCCUCCGCAUUGAUCGGCACAGCUCGAUGGCGAUCUGGCUGCAUGCUCGAAGCUCGAAGGGUGGUGGGCGGCGAAGUGAUGCGUGACAACGAGAGGCUGGCUAACUCACCGAAAUUCUAGAUGGCGAGUUAAUAUAUACGGCGCCCGCUGCAUGAUCGGAUCGGUCGGUGCGUGUGCCUCCACGUCGCGGUUGGUGAUCGACUUAUUUUGGUGGUGGAGUAGCGUAGGUUGGCACCGGCUAAAAAUGCUAAACAUACAAAUAAGUAUACAAGUUUACAAACUCUUUCUAUCUACUAACCAAUCACAAACUUGCUCACCCCUCCCUCCCAACCCUUGAUUUUCAGGGGAUGGGCCGCCUCCCCACUUAGUGACCAAUCAAGUUAACCCUCUUUGUAAAACCUUGUAACUCAUUUGUACGUGUAGCAUUACUGGGCACCGGCCGCCUGUACAUGCAUUUGCUUGCGUGCGUGCAUGCAGCGUAAGUUCUCGUAGUAGUAUUCCCUCUGUUUUUUUAUAGUCUGCAUAUAAGAUCUGGCCAAAGUCAAACUUUGUAAAGUUUGACCAAAUUUAUUUGAAAAAAUAUCAACAUCUACAAUAUUAAAGCUAUAUGAUAUGAAAAUUAAUUUCAUGAUGCAUCUAACAAUAUUGAUUUCAUAUUGUGAGCCAUGGUAUAUUUUUCUAUAAACUUAGUUAAAGUUGAUAAAGUUUGACUUUGAUCAAAUCUUAUAUACAGACUAAAAGAAAACGAAGGGAGUGGUACCAAAAAUGCUACACCUACGUAAUGUUUGCUGGUGGUAAGCUGGUGUUGGAUCGACAUCACAGAAUUGCUGCAAAGUGAGUAGUGAGCUUGUGUGUGAACUGCAAAAACGGCUUACAUCAAGUUACAUAGGGACUAGAAUGUUACAUAUGAGCAGUUUCUAAUUAUGUUUAAUCGAAGAAAACAUGGAUAUAAGAUGAUCAAUAUAGUUAACAUGAUAUUCGAACAAGAGAAGUUUUUUUUUAAACACAUUAUAGACGCAGGCGGUAGUACAUACGCACAUACACUCGCUCAUAUAAAUAUGCACACAUGCACACCCUACCCCUAUGAGCACCUGAGAGACUGAGCCGGCACAUCAUCUUGAGUUUGACGCUAUCGUAGUUGACGGGACGUCUCGUCUCACUGAACGCACAUAGUCAGAUGACCUAAAAUAAAUUCAGAAAAAUGCGAGCACGUGUUAAGUCUAGGACUUGAACUCUGAUGGGCUGGGGAUACCACUAUUCUCAUAACCAUCCGACCACAAGUUGGUUCGCUCGAACAAGAGAAGUUGUUAAGCAAAAAAGACAUGCUAUUUGAUGUGUAUGGUAUACAUGGCAUGUCCAGAUCGAAUACUAAUAUAGUAAGGAACCGGAAGUAAUCGUUAAUGGAGGGGGAAAAUAAUGUAUGAUGUGGCAGAUGAAGAAGCGUUAGCAGUCAGCGCACCGCGAAUGGUGGAAAUGGCGUGGAGGGAUGGGGAGUCGUCGUCGGGGAAGUAGUCUUCGUUGUAUGCCUCAAUGUCGGUAGAGCUCUCCCUAAAAAUCCUGAUCUCCUCUCUCUCAUACAUGAUCACAAUAGAAGGUUCCGAAGUCCUAUUGUUCCACGUCAUGGUGCAUGAGGAAAAGUGGAAUGGGAAAGACGUAAGGGGCGCAAAGAUCUUGAACUGAAGGAUGUUCUCAUGCACGUUUCUAUGUAACCCCAUCUAUGGAUAGAGGAGCAAUCUCUAAUAGACUAACAACCGAAACCGGUCCACUAUGGAAGAGUUGGAGAUGAAGAGUCUACAAAUGUUCAGUUUAAUCCUUCUACUAGUGCAUAAUGUUUCGAAUCCUGUCACGCACGACAAGAGGAGUGACACACAUGUGACAUAGGUCAUAGUUCAGCUCGUUCACGAAACACAAAGCGCGUCAGGCGAGGUGAUGUCAUGCAAAUGCAUAGAGUUUAGUUGUAGCUGUUUUUGAAGUAAGAGUAUUGAUCGAUCCCACAAGAGCUGAGAAAAUGGUCUUUUGCCCCUUAUAGAGGUUUAUCCGAAUUUGCCUGCAAAUUAUUUUACGUCCCAAGCAAAAGCGGUGUGAAAGGUGAAAUAUUGCAAGAGUGUGUGUAUGUGUGAAAGCGAGAAUUAAAGUGCACACAAACAAUGACUAAGAAUAAGAGAGUAAUGAUAAUGAUGAAAACUCCAAUAGGGCCAAAAGGCAUUCUCAUAUAGUCUGUAUGUACCACAUGUAUUUAUUAUACUUAAUUGUGUAGAAACACAACCUUUGGUUCAAAUACUUGAUCCAUGUUAUAUAUGUAUUGCGCGGGGAGAGCCAAUAAAAGCUAUUGGCAUAUUACCGAUGUUCUAUAUCACGCACGUCAUCACCAUCCCUCCAAUGCAUAUCGGCAGAGUACGAUGGUGAUUAAGGGUCUCUCCGGGGAUGCGGAUUAAAACACUUGAGUAUUUGUUGUUUCCUUGCCAAUGAUUUGGUAAGGAGAGAGAUAGCUUCUAUCACUGUUGUACCUCUAACCCCUCAUCACAAAGAUAUAAUAUCCAUCAAAUCCUGAUGGGCUAAAUAUUGUGCAGUCGAUGUUGGCACAAUAUCAUGAAGAACAUUAACACAAUUAUAUAACAAAGAUUGCAUAUAUUAUUGUCAUUAGGAUCAUAUAAAUACUAGGGUUCCCCAUAUCCACAAGAAUUGGUAAAUUACUCAGGCAUAGAGGCACGAGACAUCGUCGAGGUGUCCAUGGCAAUGGAAGAUGAAUUAUUAAUGUAACACACGUAUAAAUCUAGACUAGGGUUUGGGAAUACAACAAGAUGAAUGAGGGAUAGUCAAUUUUGAGUAUGUGGAUGAUAUUGCUAAUGAUGAUGGCUGAUGUCAUGGCCUCGGUGGUCGAAGCUUUGGCGAGGUGGUGCCCUUCUACUAAUUCGCACUUCGGAUCCCUUCUGGGGAUGAGGUUUUCUACUUCUAUUUCAUGGUCUGUGAUAUCUCUGUUAGGCACGUCUGAGAUCCCAUUGCACGGGGUGGAAGUUGUCCACCGGGUGGAGGUGGCGCCGUGCGGUAUGAACAGUCGCGCUCGUAUUGUGCGUCGUCUUCUCUCCUAGAUAGCUGGUCGUGGCUAGUUUUCCUCCCACAUUCUCGUCUCUUCGUAUAGAAGUCUUUAUGACGUCUAAUCAGCAUAUUAUUCACACCAAAAAUAGAUGUUUUACAUUUAGUGGUCAAUAUCCUGGGAUCUUGAUGACAUCAAGCGAAAGGGAAAGCAACUGUGAUAAAGUGCAAAAAAUUAUGUGGUUAUUGAGGCCAAGUUCUCGCCCCAAGUGCGGUUGAGCCUCGCCCUUGAUCUAGCGUGUAAUGGUGGAUGACUGCUUCAACGAUGCUAGUGGUGUUUCUUUUCUACUCCCUCCGUUCCUAAAUAUUUGUCUUUCUAGAGAUUUUGACAAGUGACUACAUACGGAGCAAAAUGAGUGAAUCUACACUAAAAUAUGUCUAUAUACAUCAGUAUGUGGUAGUCCAUUUGAAAUCUUCAGAAAGACAAAUAUUUAGAAACGAGGGGAGUAUGAGAGUGCUGGUUAUGUCGUGACCUGUUAGCUAUGUGUAAGCACUGUGUAUCUGCCAUUUUAUUUUCUUGCUUGUUGUAAGUGUGGUCGAUGUAAUUGCUGACUGAUUAAUGGCUCCAGACUUUUCUUAAACCUUCAUUAAAAGAAGAGUAAAUUUGACAAAGAGAGAAUGUCGGACAAGUACUUAGUAGCAAAUUUGAAGGACAUGAUUGGAUGACGUCCGCCCGGCCGGAUGUCCGCGGACAUUUGGUGGCGUCCAUUUGGUGAUAGCCGGGAAAAAAGAGUGUACUCCCUCCGUCUAGAUGAGCAAGUCAUCUUAGAUUGUGCACCGUGACCAAGGAGGAGGAGAAAACGAGAGAACUUAAUGUUCAUUUGUUAAUUAAUAGCAUUGCAUGCAAUGAACUAAUCACUGCAUGUCGUGUUUGGUAAUCUCAAGUCAUUAAAAGCAUGCACACCCCACAUCUCUUAUUGGUUGAUAUGUCAAGAAACAAGAAACAAGGUAGAAUUUAAUGCACCGCGCCUAACUGUUUUGGGAUUAUUUGGUUUCGUAAGAUGACUUACACACCUAGACGGAGGGAGUACUUGGUUCAUUCAGAUAUAUAGCGACUUCCCAUUACAAAAAAUCACACCGAUAUUACAAACCUUGUAAAAAAACUGACCAUCACCCGUACAUUUGCCUGACACACAUACUUAUCCCUCACAACUCUUAUUCUGAAUGAUAGAAGAUCAAGCUAACCCCUGACAUAAAUAGCAACGUCGCUCACUGACAGCAACAAGCCAUGAAAUUUCACUGCUAGGCCGGAUGGUGGUAGAUCGGAGUCACUAGUGGUGUCCAUGGUAUCCACCACCGCCGCCGCCGCCGCCGUAG